rnacentral:tRNA from 1 species
GAUAAGGUGGCUGAAUUUUAGGUUAUAAAUUGUAAAUUUAUUUAUGAGUAGUACUCCCUUGUCA